UGUAUAUGUAUGCAUCUAGGAAGAGAGAAAACACACACACACACACACACAAGAUAAAGAGAGAGAGAGAGAGAGAGAUCUAACGAUAUUUAAAGAAAACAUGAAAAUUAGAUUAACCAAAAAAAAAAAAGAAAAAAAAGAAGAAGAAGUAUUGCCUGGCUCCAUUCUGUCUGCCUCUUUAACCGUAAUAACAAGCAAGAGCCCUCAAAAUACUAUGUAAAUCAUCGCCGGAGAUUGCUACAAAGGCGGCGCCGUAUCCCGGUGCAACGCGGCGGCAUUGGCGGACAAGGGCAGAUCGGUCAUUGCAUGUAGCAGACGAAAAUCAACGGCACUCUUGAAAGCGAGAACACCAAGUGAAUGUUCUCCUGCACCCAUUUUCACAUUUGGUUUCCAAAACAUGUUCCACCAACUCCCUCUCUCUCUCUCUCUCUCUCUUCUUGUAUGCUAUAAUAUGUCAGUAUGUGGGCUGUGAGUAAGCAGGACUGUGUGUAUAUAUGUGACUAGUGUAAGUAUACAUGAUAAAUUAUUACCAUUUGCCCCUUGAGCUCACCUCUCUCUCUCUCUCCACCAUAAUGUGGCGAGGAGGUGGAGGUGUUGGGGAGUGGGAGGAGGCGAAGAAGGGGGGCUGGGUUUUAAAGAGGGCCCCAGCCGGAAGAGGAAUGGACAUUUUGUCGAUGCGGCUUGUUUUACUCAUUUCCGGCUUUCGGGCCGGUCAAGUUAUUCUUCUCCUACGCGCUUGCGCUUCCCUACUCGCCCUGCGCCGCGAGACACGUCAAACUGCCCCUUUCCUAUUUAAUUUAAUUACUGCCCCAUCUGCCCUUUUCCCCUUCACAAUUUUCUUCACGCCUCAAACUCGCUCGUUUAAUUGCAUUCAUUUUUUGAAAGCUAUGUUUCGAUUAAAUGGAUUCAUUUCCACGUAAUUAUUCCUCGCCG
rnacentral:lncRNA from 1 species